rnacentral:rRNA from 1 species
GAUGCUGAGCUGAUCUGGGCUAGGAGUCGAACCAGGUAUAGUUUGAUCCAGGGUGGGAAGUCGGUGAAAAGGAAAAGUUUAAUCCGCCCUUGACUCUGGGAUAAACCUGGGAAACUGGGUCUAAUACCGGAUAUGACCUUCCAUCGCAUGGUGGUUGGUGGAAAGCUUUUGUGGUUUUGGAUGGACUCGCGGCCUAUCAGCUUGUUGGUGGGGUAAUGGCCUACCAAGGCGACGACGGGUAGCCGGCCUGAGAGGGUGACCGGCCACACUGGGACUGAGACACGGCCCAGACUCCUACGGGAGGCAGCAGUGGGGAAUAUUGCACAAUGGGCGCAAGCCUGAUGCAGCGACGCCGCGUGAGGGAUGACGGCCUUCGGGUUGUAAACCUCUUUCAGUAGGGAAGAAGCGAAAGUGACGGUACCUGCAGAAGAAGCGCCGGCUAACUACGUGCCAGCAGCCGCGGUAAUACGUAGGGCGCAAGCGUUAUCCGGGAAUUAUUGGGCGUAAAGAGCUCGUAGGCGGUUUGUCGCGUCUGCCGUGAAAGUCCGGGGCUCAACUCCGGAUCUGCGGUGGGUACGGGCAGACUAGAGUGAUGUAGGGGAGACUGGAAUUCCUGGUGUAGCGGUGAAAUGCGCAGAUAUCAGGAGGAACACCGAUGGCGAAGGCAGGUCUCUGGGCAUUAACUGACGCUGAGGAGCGAAAGCAUGGGGAGCGAACAGGAUUAGAUACCCUGGUAGUCCAUGCCGUAAACGUUGGGCACUAGGUGUGGGGGACAUUCCACGUUUUCCGCGCCGUAGCUAACGCAUUAAGUGCCCCGCCUGGGGAGUACGGCCGCAAGGCUAAAACUCAAAGGAAUUGACGGGGGCCCGCACAAGCGGCGGAGCAUGCGGAUUAAUUCGAUGCAACGCGAAGAACCUUACCAAGGCUUGACAUGGACCGGAUCGCCGCAGAAAUGUGGUUUCUCCUUUUGGGGCUGGUUUACAGGUGGUGCAUGGUUGUCGUCAGCUCGUGUCGUGAGAUGUUGGGUUAAGUCCCGCAACGAGCGCAACCCUCGUUCUAUGUUGCCAGCACGUGAUGGUGGGGACUCAUAGGAGACUGCCGGGGUCAACUCGGAGGAAGGUGGGGACGACGUCAAAUCAUCAUGCCCCUUAUGUCUUGGGCUUCACGCAUGCUACAAUGGCCGGUACAAAGGGUUGCGAUACUGUGAGGUGGAGCUAAUCCCAAAAAGCCGGUCUCAGUUCGGAUUGGGGUCUGCAACUCGACCCCAUGAAGUCGGAGUCGCUAGUAAUCGCAGAUCAGCAUUGCUGCGGUGAAU